rnacentral:lncRNA from 1 species
ACAAUGAGGUGACGUUUCCCGGCUGCCCUGGCAUUCCUAGCAUGCUCUGAGUCCAUCCCCUCUGCUCCCAAAGCACUUGGAUCCCGAAACCGAUCUUUGUUACAUGGUUCCUACAUAAGCAGGGGGUUACGAGCCGAGGCACAGCCGGGUGAAAAGAUGAGUCUGCUAUGAGGACAGAUGCAUGGCCCGAGCAUGUGUUUCCUUCAGUGCCUGUGAGCUUGCCCUAGGGAGCAUGUUGGAGCUGGCAUUGCUCAGCUUGGGACUGAUUCCUGAAAAAGGGUAUACAGCCACUGACAUACAUUUGUCUACAUCUGUCUCUAGCCCUGCUCCCUCAGUAGCCCAGUCCUGUAAAGCCUUCGUAGGAAGCAAAUCCAGCUUCUAGCAUAGCCUUGCUUGUAUUUCAUGCUGUGUGAGAAGGCACAUACAGGAGAGGAGGAGGCUGUGGGUCCUGUCUACUCACGGCUCCUGAAUUGCUCACACUCAACAGUCUGGAAACUGUGUUUGAACUUGUUAAGAACGACUGGACUUCAUCUCUCAAACUCAGGUCCUAAGAGAAACCAGAAAAAUGUUUUCUCUUCUUCCUCCUGCUGUUUGGGAGUAAUAGCCAAAAAUAUGUCCUGAAGCCUGGUGGUAGUGGCACACGCCUUUGAUCUCAGCACUUGGGAAUCCAAGGCAGGAAGAAUUCUGAGUUCCAAGCUAGCGUGGUCUAAGGAGUGAGUUCCAGAACAGUCAGGGUUACACAGAAAAACACUGUAUCAAAAAAGACAACACUUCCCCACAAAAAAAAGUGUGUCAUGGAACCUUGCCACAUGCCCAUCUUCACUGUCACCCCAACACCUUUUCCUGCCACUUUUCUAUCUAUUAGACCAUAGGGAGUAUGUUUUAAAUCCUCGAAUUUUGGCAUGCCAUUCCUUUAAACUGGAUUCUUUGGCAGACUUGAAUAAUUUUGCUUACUGGAGAUAACCAUAUUAUUUCAAUCUGUUAAACCCAGUACAUAGCAGAACUUGUUGGCUCGUGCCUGUAAUCCCACCAUUUGGAAAUAAGUUUGAGGCCAGCCUAGGCUACAUAGUGAGUUCUGGGACAGCCUUGGCUAUAGAGUGAGACCCUCUUCUC